rnacentral:lncRNA from 1 species
CCGUCAAUCAUAAAACCACAUCCAAACAGUUUAUUUUGCAAAUAAAUGGAAACGUAGUCUUUAUUAAAAUUGAAUUCAUAAUGUUUCUGUGCUAGACAAGAUACAGAAAUCAGAUUUCUGCUAGCACUAGGUACAAAAUAACAAUCUCUAAUUAUCAAACUAAAUCCUGACGGUAAAUGCAAAGGGAAUGUGCCCACAGCAAUAGCAGUAACUCUUACUCCAUUGCCAACCCGUAGAGAUACCGCACCUUCCGUAAGCCUUCUACUUUUCUUUAGAUCCUGCAUGGUAGUACACAAGUGAACACUAGAACCAGAGU